rnacentral:tRNA from 1 species
UCCCUGGUGGCUCAGACGGUAAAGCGUCUGCCUACAAUGCGGGAGACCCUGGUUCGAUUCCUGGGUCGGGAA